rnacentral:rRNA from 1 species
GACGAACGCUGGCGGCGUGCUUAACACAUGCAAGUCGAACGGAAAGGCCCUUGCUUGCAGGGGUACUCGAGUGGCGAACGGGUGAGUAACACAUAAGCAACUUGCCUACACGACUGGGAUAACUAUUGGAAACGAUAGCUAAUACCGGAUAGGUAAAUUGAAGGCAUCUUCGAUUUAUUAAAGCAGGGUUUCCUGCACGAGUAGAUAGGCUUAUGGUGUAUUAGCUUGUUGGUGGGGUAAUGGCCUACCAAGGCGAUGAUACAUAGCCGGCCUGAGAGGGUGAACGGCCACAUUGGGACUGAGACACGGCCCAG